UAGGGAAUCUUCCGCAAUGGACGAAAGUCUGACGGAGCAACGCCGCGUGAGUGAAGAAGGAUUUCGGUUCGUAAAACUCUGUUGUUAGGGAAGAAAAAAUGUAUAGUAACUAUAUACAAAAGAGACGGUACCUAACCAGAAAGCCACGGCUAACUACGUGCCAGCAGUCGCGGUAAUACGUAGGUGGCAAGCGUUGUCCGGAAUUAUUGGGCGUAAAGCGCGCGCAGGUGGUUUAGAAAGUCUGAUGUGAAAGCCCACGGCUCAACCGUGGAGGGUCAUUGGAAACUAAUAAACUUGAGUGCAGGAGAGAAAAGUGGAAUUCCUAGUGUAGCGGUGAAAUGCGUAGAGAUUAGGAGGAACACCGGUGGCGAACGCGGCUUUUUGGCCUGCAACUGACACUGAGGCGCGAAAGCGUGGGGAGCAAACAGG
rnacentral:rRNA from 1 species